AAAAAAAAAACAUUCACUUCCGCAUUCCCCAAAACCCAUUUUGUUCCAAAUCCGCCCGAAAAUCCUCCAUUGAAGCUUGCUUUUUCUUUCAUUCGUCGUAGGUCAGCUGGACCUGCUCCCUUCUUUCCCCCUUCAUCUCAAAGACACGGCCAUCGAUUUGGAGAUCUAGAGAGGGAGCUCGAAGUUUUCGAUUUGUCGAUUUGGAGAUGAAAUUUGUGGUACAUUGGAUUGGGCAUUACGUUUAAGGAUAUAUUGUGUUAUCUGUUCGUGUGGUAAAUGUUUAUUUCUCAUCUUCUUCAUCAUUGCACAUUUGGGUUUCUGCAGAUUUUCUGCUCAGCAAUUUGCUCAGUUACUCGAAUACUAGGACAUAAUAGAUCAUAGAAAUCCUUAUCAAAUAGACUCACGUCGUCCAUUAGUUUAUAAUCAACACUUUGACAACUGAUCAGUAAUGGAAGACUAUAUAUUGAUAUAUGGUCAUUAUUCUGUUGAAUGAAUUGAGAGGUCAAAUAAUUCAUAAAUCUGUUUUGAAUUUACUAUAUACCCAUUUCAAACUUAUACACAACCAGCUCUCCGCCGUUAAUUUCACAAGAAGUUCGUCUUCUUCAAUGAAUCAAUAGCACCUCGAGAUGAUUUUCCUAAGUGCGUUUGUGGAAUAUCACUGCAACAAUCAAUGCCAAGUCAAGGUAAUAACUCUAAGGGGUCGUUUGGUAAGAUGCAUUAGAUAAAAUAAUGCAUGCAUUAGCUUUGUGUAUUAAUAAUACCUUGUUUGGUAGAUAUUUUUAAUCUAUGCAUUAGUUAUGCAAGCAUUAGUUAUACAUUGUAUUUGGUAUUAUCCUAUGCAUAACUAAUGCAUAGAAAACCAUGGUAUUAACAAUGCAAUGGAUUUUAAUGCAUGCAUUAGCUUAGUUAAAGACAAAAUUGUCCUUCAAAAUUUAUGUUUUAUGAAAAUAUGCUUGUUAUUAUAUUAAUGCAAGUUUAAAUAAUCCAAAUUAUGAAAAAUAAAAUUAUUCCCUAGUAAAUAAAUAAAUACUUAGCAUAUAUUCUUUUUUAUAAAUAAAUAUUUAGUUCUAUAUUACAAUAUAGGUAGACAAAUCAAAUAAUUUUUUAAAAGUUUUUUCAUAUAAAAACAUUUCUCAACAUAUGUUUCUUUUAAAAAGUUAGAGUGAUGGACUGGUUUUGAGGACAUUUUUGUAAACAAACAAUUCUUUUAGAAAUUGUGCAAUGCUUUAAUAUAUCAAACCAAACAAUAGAUAAGAAAUAUGUCAGCAUAACUAAUACCAGCAUUACUAAUACACCCUAUUCAGCAUUAUUCUUACUCACCCUACCAAACGACCCCAAAGUGUUUAUGUGGAAAACAUGCAGUGUUGAAGAUUACAUGGUGUAAAUUCAUUCUGGGUCGAAGAUUUUGGGCAUAUAAAUAUCUUGUGAGUAACGAUGCAGAUUUUAUGUUUUAUCGUUUAAUUCUGUUCAGUAGGAGCUGAUACACAGAUAUUGUUAUUUGUUCUUGUGUGUAGGAUGAAGAUCCUUGUAAUUUUGAGAAAUAAUACGAUGAAUCAUGGCAGCAUGAUUACUAUAAAUUAGUGUUGUGAGAUUAUUUCAAAGGUACUGCAGAAUAUGAAAAGAAACCGAAGAGAAAUAUUACAAUGUGGAAAAGGAUAUUGAUGCAUUGAAGGAGAAUCUCAAAGAAGCCGAAGAAAAGAACAAUCGGUUGCAGAGGAAAUUCAUUUGAUUGAAGGAAAAAAUAAUCAGUAUAAGAGACUGAAGAACGAAG
rnacentral:lncRNA from 1 species